rnacentral:tRNA from 1 species
GAGGGUUUAGCUCAGCGGCAUAAGUACCUGCCUUGUAAGCAGGCGGUCCUGAGUUCGAUCCCCGGUACCAAUA